AACCAGACUCCUACGGGAGGCAGCAGUGGGGGAUAUUGCACAAUGGGGGGAACCCUGAUGCAGCGACGCCGCGUGGGUGAAGAAGCGCCUCGGCGCGUAAAGCCCUAUCGGCAGGGAAGAAGGAGGACGGUACCUGACUAAGAAGCCCCGGCUAACUACGUGCCAGCAGCCGCGGUAAUACGUAGGGGGCAAGCGUUAUCCGGAUUUACUGGGUGUAAAGGGGGCGCAGACGGCAGCGCAAGCCAGGAGUGAAAGCCCGGGGCCCAACCCCGGGACUGCUCUUGGAACUGCGCGGCUGGAGUGCAGGAGGGGCAGGCGGAAUUCCUGGUGUAGCGGUGAAAUGCGUAGAUAUCAGGAGGAACACCGGUGGCGAAGGCGGCCUGCUGGACUGUAACUGACACUGAGGCUCGAAAGCGUGGGGAGCAAACAGGAUUAGAUACCCCUGUA
rnacentral:rRNA from 1 species